rnacentral:rRNA from 1 species
ACUCCUACGGGAGGCAGCAGUGGGGAAUAUUGCACAAUGGGCGCAAGCCUGAUGCAGCCAUGCCGCGUGUGUGAAGAAGGCCUUCGGGUUGUAAAGCACUUUCAGUCGUGAGGAAGGCGGGUACGGUUAAUAGCGUAUUCGUUUGACGUUAGCGACAGAAGAAGCACCGGCUAACUCCGUGCCAGCAGCCGCGGUAAUACGGAGGGUGCGAGCGUUAAUCGGAAUUACUGGGCGUAAAGCGCAUGCAGGUGGUUUGUUAAGUCAGAUGUGAAAGCCCGGGGGCUCAACCUCGGAAUAGCAUUUGAAACUGGCAGACUAGAGUACUGUAGAGGGGGUAGAAUUUCAGGUGUAGCGGUGAAAUGCGUAGAGAUCUGAAGGAAUACCGGUGGCGAAGGCGGCCCCCUGGACAGAUACUGACACUCAGAUGCGAAAGCGUGGGGAGCAAACAGGAUUAGAUACCCUGGUAGGACAGUG